AGCAGCCGCGGUAAUUCCAGCUCCAAUAGCGUAUAUUAAAGUUGUUGCAGUUAAAAAGCUCGUAGUUGAAUUUCGAGAUCAAAUUGUUGGUCGUGCCUCGGUACGUACUGGUAAUUUUGGUUUCUCCCUUCUGAAGAACCAUGAUGUCAUUAAUUUGGUGUCUUGGGGAAUCAGGACUGUUACUUUGAAAAAAUUAGAGUGUUUAAAGCAAGCUCGCGCUUGAAUACAUUAGCAUGGAAUAAUGAAAUAGGACGUUUGAUUCUAUUUUGUUGGUUUCUAGGAUCGACGUAAUGAUUAAUAGGGAUAGUUGGGGGCAUUAGUAUUCAAUUGUCAGAGGUGAAAUUCUUGGAUUUAUUGAAGACUAACUACUGCGAAAGCAUUUGCCAAGGAUGUUUUCAUUAAUCAAGAACGAAAGUUAGGGAUCGAAGACGAUCAGAUACCGUCGUAGUCUUAACCAUAAACUAUGCCGACUAGGGAUCGGAUGAUGUUAAUUUUUAAUGACUCAUUCGGCGCCUUACGG
rnacentral:rRNA from 1 species